rnacentral:lncRNA from 1 species
UCAAAUAAGAGACCCAAUUGCUUAUUUUGUCAAAUUUCAAUUCAUUGCAUGAAAUCAACAAAAGAACACACUUUGAAAGAAGAACUAUAAUGAAGAAACAAAAGCAUAACAAACCUUAUUGAGACACAGAUUAAAGUACUAGCAUUUUUUGAAGUGAGUGAUGAUGUUUGAAGAAAUUUGUGGGAUUUGGAAUUGGAAUUUGGGAAAGACAGGAAGUGAA